rnacentral:lncRNA from 1 species
CUAGCUCCUUUUUUAUAGAAUCUUAUAUUCGCUUUUGGGCUUGCCUCAAAAAUAACCUUAUGCUCCGUUUUGAACGAUUUGUGGAAGUCUAUAGCCCGUAGAAAGCCUACACCUUAACUUUUUUUUUGGUUGCUCCAAUUUUUGGAGCGGCCCACGCAACCCAACGUGGCAGCAUCCUCCUCCACUUCCCCAGGAAACCGAUUCCGCGGGGUCCUUCCGUCGACGUAUCCAGCGGCGGCCGGUGAGUUGUUUCAAAGGUAUCCCUUCACCACCGGCCUCCGGUAGAAUUUUGAUUGUUUGGAUUGUCCGAGAUCUCUUUCCUUCUUGGUUGUAUACGGAUACAUACAUCAACUAAACCACCCAGUUUAUUAGAUUAGAUUGAUUCCACACCACAGUAAUCUGACGCAGUGUAUUUUAUUUUUGUCCUAGUUUCCAACUCCGAUCUAUUGUGUACGGAUAAACCUAUCUCUCCAUUUGUCUGGGCAACCAUACCGAUCCACUAGUUGUGUAAUCAGAUCAAUCAGUGUUUGCUGCUCUGGCUGGAUUGAAAAGAUCGAUGAUGAAAAACAAGAAGCCCCGGAUGGUGAGAGGCCAUGAAGAGCAACGCCCUUACAAAAGGGUGGCUAGGCCAAGUGAGUCCAUGCUGUUUCCAUUCUCCUGCAACUACAUAUUCACAAUUAACGCUUCUGUUAACUGUAUCGCACAUGAUUUUUAUUUUCAAUUAACUAGCUUUGUGUGCUACCUUCGUAGACAGCUUGAGUGAAUCCAGUCCAGGCGCCCUGAGUGAACUCAGUGAGCAAGUAGUUUCAAGAUUGCGUAGGAGUGUCGUGUCGCUUGCUUCAUUCGAUGG